AAGGCAUCCGACAACAGUAGACUCGUCAGCAACCUCAGAAAUAUUCGAGCUUCUCCUGGAUUACUGAGACAGAAAGCCGUUCCGCUCCAUCAGACAUCCCAACCGAGCUUCAGCCAUCAGACUCGAACUCUCUGGCAAGUCACGACAAUGGCCACUACCCCACUCCACUCUCUAUAACAGGUUCCAUGCGGCACCACUACUCUCUGGCAAGUCGCGACAACGGACAUCACUUCACUCU
rnacentral:lncRNA from 1 species